AGCAAUAAAACGACUUGGCAAUUUCGCGCGCGCGCGCUCUUCAUCUCUCUUGCAGAAGACAACCUUCGAACUAAAAUCUGCUCUCUUUCUCUCUAUCUCGCCGACUCACUCACCUUCCGUCCAACUCAUUAUUACCGCCGGCGGAUGUUUCCGGCGACAACGACGAUUUCUACGGUGAAAAGGAUCACAGUGGCUAGAGCGGGAUCCAAAUUCCCACUGCUCCCUCCCUCUUUCUCCGACUCACGCUAGAUGGAAAAGAACCUUCUCUCUGUGAUAUCUUCUUCGCGCUCUCAUUCUUGCUCUCCGACUCCCUCUCUCUCGCGGGAUUACUCUCCUUCUGGCAAUCGCCCUUCUUGAUUUCUCCAACCAAAUGUUAGCGAUGACUUAUGAAUUGCCAGUUUUAAUGUGUUGCUGUUGGUUAUAUGUGAUUAUGUUUUCUAUGAAAUCGAUCGUGAAUGGCUAGGUAUCGAUCGAGAACGAAGUGGACUUGAGAAGGAUUAGGAAGUUUUUAAGUUUUCAAAGGACCGGCAGGGAUAUAAAGUUCGUUCUAUCCUCGCGAGGUUUUUCUAUAAUCAGAUAUAAAGACAACAUGUAUCAAAAGUUUGGAGAUGUUGGGACGAAUAAUCAAGAAGCUGGUGGAUGAUUUCUAACAGAUUCUCGGAAGUAACCUGGACAUACGAACAUAAGGUCUGUAUGAAAUAAAGUUUAAAAUUAUCUGUGGAUAUUUGUGGAGGCUCAACGAUGAAGAUCACAGUGUCAGUAAUUAUUUUUCAGUGUAUCUUUUAUUGCCGAAAGCACGGCCAUAUUUGUUCAUAGUUAUUCAAGGUAUGGAAAAAUGCACUAUAAUGUUUUGAACAUGUAGCAAUUGUGACAGAAACUAGUAAAACAGUCGAGGUGCGGAAACGUGUUUAAGUUUCACAGAUAGAACAUGAAUUGGCGUGCACAUUGGUGGUCACCAAUAUUUAUUUAACCAAAGUUUACUAUAUAUGGAAUCACGAAACUGCACUUCUACUAUUAUUACUUGUUAUUUAAAGUUUUUUGUUGUCAUUCACCCAGAUGUUUAUCUCAACACAAUACUAAGGAUUAUAAUCUGCUUCUAUUGGUCCCUUCAGGGACAUCGGAUAACACGGUUCUACUGUUAUUGAAGGAAGGAAACACAUGUUAGUCAAAGGUCAUAUCAGUUUUUAUUUGUUUGUAUCAGGCUACACUAUGUUUUGGUGCAGCUAUGAUGACUAGAAGUUCUUUCUAUAAGAUGUUAGAUGUUUAUUUUCUCUUAAUACAACGUUCAAACAUCUUUUGAUAAUACUUUUGCUUUUUACGUGCCCUUGGCCUAUCUAUCAAAAUUUUGGAGCAACCACAUCAACAUGGCGUGCUAUUGAUCAAAUUUGAGACGAUUGAUUGAUUAGCAAUCGUGCUUGCCCAGGAUGGAUCAAGAAAGCAUCAAGGAUUUUUCCUCACUCGAAGUUCGAACAUGCGACUUCUGGGUAGCAUUACUCAAAGACCACGUGCAUUCACCAACAAUGGGAGAGCCCCUUGGGGACUUUGAACUUUUGCUUCUCAAUUUUGAAGUUUUCGAGCAUUUUGGACUGUUUUAUAUAUGGCUAUAUUUUAGACCUACUUAUCCAUGAUGUCUUUCUCUUACCAUUUGAAAAAGUUGUCUUUUCAUCUUAUUCUGUGUUUGACUGUUUGUUGGACGAUUCAUUCUUUGAGACUGUUGUAGUAACGUAGGUCAAACUUCUCUGUUUUAGCUAGUGGGUCGGACAAAUUAUCUUGAUGUGCUCAACAAGAAGUCAGAGGCGUGUUCCCCCCUAAUUCGAUCGAGUAAAGAAAUACCUAAAAUUGUGAUUCUGUUCUAGCUUCUCUUCCUUUAUAGAAGAAAAGGUAUUUCUAGUUUGCAUGGUCCAAUCACUGACCCAAAAAUUUAUACUUUAGAAGUUGGGAUUGUAGAUUUCUCGUGUGAAAUUGUGAUGAUCUUCCAUGCAUAGUUUGGUGAAACAACUACCAUUUGCAUGAUUUAGAGAUGCAUUAAGUAUUUUUCUCUUGGCUUCUUAAUUGAGGGUAGGUCAUGGAAAAAUGUGCAUCUCAACUCUCUUUAUCAUUUGUGUAGUGAUUGUUGAACUAAGCAGUUUCUCGUUAGGAAUUUCAUAAAAUUUUCUACUUCAUUUACUAUAUUGUUAUUUUGAAGAUCGAUUAGUCUGGUGUGUGUAGCAUGCAGUAACUUGUUAGAACAAUAAUUUUGUGUAAGGUAUAAAUUCAAAAAGGCAUUCAAAUGGUUGGUCUACUAUUUCAUUAAUAGUCAAGCUUAAAAUAUAUUUUUGAGAAUUUGAUAUGCUUUUUUAGGAAUUAGUUUGCUUGGUGUCUGGAUUUCCUGCUAUAUUUUAUUUUUUAAAGAUAUAAUGUUGUGCUCUAUUGUGUGUCCAGAAAGAAACUUUUGCAUUUCUUCUCUUGGCCUUCAAUUGUUUUUUUUUUAUAAGAAUCUGUUGGCCUUCAAACAAAAGGCUUGUUAUUUGGUACGAAAGGAAUAUUGAUGUUGCCAAGUGGGUAACCGGAGGCAACCAUAUAUAUGUAUACUGAGUUUCAUUAAUAUAUGUUUGUUAUUUCAAAACAAUCAGUUGACUCUUUCAUACAUUCAAUUCCAGGAGUGGCAUCAUUAUUCAUGUUUUAUAUAUUUCAAGCACUAUAAUUAUAGAUUAAGAAUCUUAUAAAAUAUUUUUUAUUAUGUAUUUGAUAGUAACUGAUAGGAGGGUGAUCCUUUGACUCCCCUAUCAAAUCAAUGGACCUAUCAAAUUUUUGGAUCACAGAUUUUCUUUUGGUUAUUUGUAAUUAUGUUUUCUAGGCAAUGGUUCCUGAAUUGCUAAGUAUUCAAGAAAACAGAGUGGACAUGAGCCUGAGAAGGAUUGAGAAGUUUUCAAUGGAUUAGCAGGUAGAAAGUUAAUUCUAUUCCACGCUGUAUUAGAAUAUAUCUUCCGUUAGAUAGUUAAGCUUAUUCACCAUUCCAACAACGUUCAAACAUCUCGUGACAGCACUUAUGCUUCUAUAAAAAUUUUGGAGCAAUUAACAUUAGCGUGCUGUAUGAGUGGUUAGUUGAUGAGUAUUAUUUGUUAUCGUCUGCAUGACCACCUUUGAUUGGGUGCUUUUUGGGAAGUCACAAACAUUUUAAACGAGAGCAUUUUUACAUAGACCAUUUACGCCUAGUGUUGUUGUAUACUUUGCGAUACAAGGAGAGCCACGGCCAACUGAUGCAGCAUUCGAUGAAUUGGCUUCUUGAUCUGCCAAGUAUAAAACAAGGUAAUGUGUAUAUUGAAGCACCAUUUUUAUCAAUUUCGAAUUUUUUCAUCUCUAUUUGAAGUUUUCAAGCAUUUUAGAUUGUUUUAUAUAUUGUAUAUAUUAAAGACCUUGAUGAUCCAUUAUGUCCAUCUUUCUCGUACAAUUUGAAAAGGUUUAUGCCUUUUAAUCCUCUUUUAUGUUUGUUAGAUACGGGUUAUUUGAGAUGUUUGUAGCAAUGUAGCUCAAACUUCAAUUGGAAAAAUUAUCUUGGCCGAAAGAAACACCUAGAACCUUGAUUUUUAAUCUAGCUUCGAAAGUUGGGAUUGUAGAUUUCUCAUUUGUGAUUUGUCAGAUUGUUUGAUCUUUAAUAUGUGGUGGAAUUGCUGUCUUUGGCAUGAUUCGGUAUAGUAUUUUCCCUUGGCUUAUCAUUUGAGGCUGGUCAUGGAAAAAUGUGCAUCUCAAUUCUCUUUUCAUUUGUUGGUGAUUGGUGAAAUAAGCACUUUCUGAUUAGGUUUUUCAGAAAACUUGAUACGUUGGAAAAUCUGUAUGUGAAGUUUCUGCCUCAUAUGACUCCUCUAUUAUGGAUAAUGAAAUUAUAUGUUUGGUUGCUCCCCCCUCACUUGAAAAAUAGGACAAGGAAUCCUCAUCUAAAAUGGAGUCGUUUCUGGAUGCUAAAAUACUCGUCAUCCUCAUUAUUGAUCAUAUUUGUUAGUUGUUUCAUUUGGAGGAAUGAGUGACGAGGGAAAGAGUGUGAUCAAAGGACAGCAAGCAAGAUUCUAGCACGAGAAGAAAAGGAUGAUCUGGAAUAAGGAUGACAUGAGGAUUUUUGUAACAAAGUGAGGGAAAGUGCAUAGUUAAGGAUGAGGACGGAAACAUACAAGAUUCUAGCAUGGGAAACGAGGACAAGCAAGAAUAAGGACGACUAAUCAAGAGAGAGUCUGGUCAAGCAUGAGGUUGACAGCAAGAAAUAUUCUAGCACGGGAAAUGUAGACGAUUAAGAAUGAUGACAACAACAAACAUUUUGUUAUCAAAGCAAGGAAAGAGCCUAAUCAAGCAUGAGGUUGACAGCAAGAAAUAUUCUAGCACGGGAAAUGUAGACGAUUAAGAAUGAUGACAACAACAAACAUUUUGUUAUCAAAGCAAGGAAAGAGCCUAAUCAAGAAUGAGGAGGACAGAAAGCAAGAUUAUAGCACGAGGAUUGGGAAUAGCUUGUCAAUGACUGCAAGAGAAGUGCCAAGUCCUCAAGUCUAGAAGAACAAACGGCAUCGUCAUCAAAUUUUUUAACAGGACUGAGGCGGCCAUGACUCUAGAGUUAACUUCAUCUGCCUAACGCUACAGGUUAGAAUGGUGUUUCAGCAUUAUAUUGACCAUAUUACCUCUUGAUGAGUCGAUAACUUUAGGUUUAAAUUCAUUAUACUCUAUCUAGCUAGAUCUAAUAGAACUUUAUGAGCUUCUUCCUCCACUUUGUUUGACUUUUUAUGCACUAUUAGACCAUAAUAUUUUCUUUUGCUAUAGGCGGAUAUGUGGAAAGUAUAAUAAGAAGAAUAAUAUUUAGAUGUUUAUCCGUGAGUAGUUAUCUUUAUCACCAUUCAAAUAUUGACAGUUAGGAGAGAUGGAUGCAUAAAGGAAGAGAGAGAAAAUAUAAUUUUCUUUUUUUAUAUAUAACUGUCAAUUUUUUAAUGGUGGUGAGCAAGAAGAUACCUACCUACCUACUCACAGGUAAACACCUAAAUAUUAUCAUAAAAGAAUAGGAGAAUUUUAUUUUUAAAACUUGCUACUUGACCGAGUGACUCAAUCUUUUACCAUUCUUCUUUUACCUUCACCAAAUUGAAUCCUAAAUUUGGUUAAGUGGUAAAACUAGAUGAAUUUAGGAAGACUUUUGAGAGAACAUUUAUUUUGCAUGUACUUUUAGUACUUUGCUUAUAUAAGAAUCCAUUUUUAAAUGGUCUAAAACUUUAAACAAGUAAUUUUAAUGGGUUAAAGGCACUCUAGUUUUGGGAAGUUAUUAAUUAGUUUAGUUCAAAGUUGACUCACCAAACCACAUAUAAGGGUACAAAUUUUCAAUAUUUGAACCAAGUGAUUUCUGUGAAUCCUAUUUCUUGUCAUUUUCAAUAUUCCAUGUCCUUCAUCCCAUUUAUUUGAUAUUUUCCUUUGACCCUCUUGCAUUUUUACUGACUGACUGCACUAUGAUUUGCCAACAAGUUAACUUUUUUAUGUCAAAAAGUCUGAAUAAAAAAUAAAUGAAUAUU